GGAAAGAUACCCAAGUGGUCCAAGGGGGCUGACUCGAAAUCAGCUAGGCGCCCGUUGAGGGCGUGCGUGGGUUCGAAUCCCACUCUUUCCG
rnacentral:tRNA from 1 species